rnacentral:rRNA from 1 species
CGCGUAGGCGGUUAUUCAAGUCACAUGUGAAAUACCAGGGCUCAACCUUGGGGGGGUCAUGUGAAACUGGAUGACUUGAGUGCAGUAGAGGAAAGCGGAAUUCCUGGUGUAGCGGUAAAAAUGCGUAGAGAUCAGGAGGAACACCGGUGGCGAAGGCGGCUUUCUGGGCUGUAACUGACGCUGAGGCGCGAAAGCGGUGGGGAGCAAACAGGAUUAGAUACCCUGGUAGUCCACGCUGUAAACGAUGAAUACUAGGUGUAGGGGACGCAGGUCUUCUGUGCCGGAGCAAACGCAAUAAGUAUUCCGCCUGGGGAGUACGGCCGCAAGGUUGAA